AUCUAUAGCCAUGCCACCCUGAACAAGCCCAAUCUUGUCUGAUCUCAGAAGCUAAGCAGGGUCGGGCCUGGUUAGUACUUGAAUGGGAGACCACCUAGGAAGACCAGGUGCCGUAGGCG
rnacentral:rRNA from 1 species